AUCGUCGUCCCUCACCAUCCUUUGCUGAUGCGGGACGGAAGCUGGUCUCCCGUGUGUUACCGCACGCGGUUGGCCUAAAUCCGAGCCAAGGACGCCUGGAGCGUACCGACAUGCGGUGGUGAACUUGAUCCAUUACAUUUUAUCGGUCGCUCUUGUCCGGAAGCUGUAGAUGACCCAAAGUCCAUAUAGCG
rnacentral:misc_RNA from 2 species